AGGCCAGACUCCUACGGGAGGCAGCAGUCGGGAAUAUUGCACAAUGGAGGAAACUCUGAUGCAGUGACGCCGCGUGCAGGAAGAAGGUUUUCGGAUUGUAAACUGCUUUAGACAGGGAAGAAACAAGACAGUACCUGUAGAAUAAGCUCCGGCUAACUACGUGCCAGCAGCCGCGGUAAUACGUAGGGAGCAAGCGUUAUCCGGAUUUAUUGGGUGUAAAGGGUGCGUAGACGGGAAUUUAAGUUAGUUGUGAAAUCCCUCGGCUUAGCUGAGGAACUGCAACUAAAACUGAAUUUCUUGAGUGCGGGAGAGGAAAGUGGAAUUCCUAGUGUAGCGGUGAAAUGCGUAGAUAUUAGGAGGAACACCAGUGGCGAAGGCGACUUUCUGGACCGUAACUGACGUUGAGGCACGAAAGUGUGGGGAGCAAACAGGAUUAGAUACCCGGGUAGCU
rnacentral:rRNA from 1 species